GAUGAACGCUGGCGGCGUGCCUAAUACAUGCAAGUCGAGCGAACGGACGAGAAGCUUGCUUCUCUGAUGUUAGCGGCGGACGGGUGAGUAACACGUGGAUAACCUACCUAUAAGACUGGGAUAACUUCGGGAAACCGGAGCUAAUACCGGAUAAUAUUUUGAACCGCAUGGUUCAAAAGUGAAAGACGGUCUUGCUGUCACUUAUAGAUGGAUCCGCGCUGCAUUAGCUAGUUGGUAAGGUAACGGCUUACCAAGGCAACGAUGCAUAGCCGACCUGAGAGGGUGAUCGGCCACACUGGAACUGAGACACGGUCCAGACUCCUACGGGAGGCAGCAGUAGGGAAUCUUCCGCAAUGGGCGAAAGCCUGACGGAGCAACGCCGCGUGAGUGAUGAGGGUCUUCGGAUCGUAAAACUCUGUUAUUAGGGAAGAACAUAUGUGUAAGUAACUGUGCACAUCUUGACGGUACCUAACCAGAAAGCCACGGCUAACUACGUGCCAGCAGCCGCGGUAAUACGUAGGUGGCAAGCGUUAUCCGGAAUUAUUGGGCGUAAAGCGCGCGUAGGCGGUUUUUUAAGUCUGAUGUGAAAGCCCACGGCUCAACCGUGGAGGGUCAUUGGAAACUGGAAAACUUGAGUGCAGAAGAGGAAAGUGGAAUUCCAUGUGUAGCGGUGAAAUGCGCAGAGAUAUGGAGGAACACCAGUGGCGAAGGCGACUUUCUGGUCUGUAACUGACGCUGAUGUGCGAAAGCGUGGGGAUCAAACAGGAUUAGAUACCCUGGUAGUCCACGCCGUAAACGAUGAGUGCUAAGUGUUAGGGGGUUUCCGCCCCUUAGUGCUGCAGCUAACGCAUUAAGCACUCCGCCUGGGGAGUACGACCGCAAGGUUGAAACUCAAAGGAAUUGACGGGGACCCGCACAAGCGGUGGAGCAUGUGGUUUAAUUCGAAGCAACGCGAAGAACCUUACCAAAUCUUGACAUCCUUUGACAACUCUAGAGAUAGAGCUUUCCCCUUCGGGGGACAAAGUGACAGGUGGUGCAUGGUUGUCGUCAGCUCGUGUCGUGAGAUGUUGGGUUAAGUCCCGCAACGAGCGCAACCCUUAAGCUUAGUUGCCAUCAUUAAGUUGGGCACUCUAAGUUGACUGCCGGUGACAAACCGGAGGAAGGUGGGGAUGACGUCAAAUCAUCAUGCCCCUUAUGAUUUGGGCUACACACGUGCUACAAUGGACAAUACAAAGGGCAGCGAAACCGCGAGGUCAAGCAAAUCCCAUAAAGUUGUUCUCAGUUCGGAUUGUAGUCUGCAACUCGACUACAUGAAGCUGGAAUCGCUAGUAAUCGUAGAUCAGCAUGCUACGGUGAAUACGUUCCCGGGUCU
rnacentral:rRNA from 1 species